rnacentral:rRNA from 1 species
GUGAGGAAUAUUGCGCAAUGGAGGCAACUCUGACGCAGCCAUGCCGCGUGCAGGAAGAAGGCGCUACGCGUUAUAAACUGCUUUUAACCGGGAAGAAACCCCAGGACGUGUCCUGGGUUGACGGUACCGGAGGAAUAAGCACCGGCUAACUUCGUGCCAGCAGCCGCGGUAAUACGAAGGGUGCAAGCGUUAUCCGGAUUCAUUGGGUUUAAAGGGUGCGUAGGCGGAGCGUUAAGUCAGUGGUGAAAUCCUGCAGCUUAACUGUAGACUUGCCAUUGAUACUGGCGCUCUUGAGUGCGCUUGAAGUGGGCGGAAUGUGCCGUGUAGCGGUGAAAUGCUUAGAUAUGGCACAGAACACCAAUUGCGAAGGCAGCUCACUAAGGCGAUACUGACGCUGAGGCACGAAAGCGUGGGGAUCGAACAGGAUUAGAAACCCCUGUAGUCC